rnacentral:tRNA from 1 species
GGAGCAGUAGAUCAGCGGUAAAUCCUUCGCCUGAUAUGCGGAGAGACCUGAGUUCGACUCCCGGCUGCUACU